rnacentral:rRNA from 1 species
GACAGAGGAUGCAAGCGUUAUCCGGAAUGAUUGGGCGUAAAGCGUCUGUAGGUGGCUUUUCAAGUCCGCCGUCAAACCCCAGGGCUCAACCCUGGACAGGCGGUGGAAACUACCAAGCUGGAGUACGGUAGGGGCAGAGGGAAUUCCUGGUGUAGCGGUGGAAUGCGCAGAUAUCAGGAGGAACACCGAUGGCGAAGGCAGGUCACUGGGCCGCAACUGACGCUGAGGAGCGAAAGCAUGGGGAGCGAACAGG